CCGCGGGGAGGACCAGCCGCCUCGUCCCGCCUUUUCCCUGCUUCUGCGGGUCGCGCGCCGGCCUCUCCUGCCUGGGCAGGUGGAAGGAGGAGGAGGAGGAGGAGCAGCCCUGAGCCUCGCGAAGGGAAGGAAAGGCCGCCGAGCCCCGUCCGUUCCCAGAGGAGGCCAAAGGGUCGAGGCCGGGGCAGCCCGCUUCGCCCUGGGCCCGGAAGGCGCCUUGAAGGAGAAGGGUGGAGUAGACACGUUUUCAGUCAAGAAAGGGGGAGCCUGUCUCUGGGCAUGUGCAGAAGGCCUGGGCGGACUCCCAGGGCCCCUGCCCUAAGCGAAGGGUCCCCUUCGCCAAAGGGCCUUCUUGGCCGGACACCCGGCCUCUCGGGGGUGGGGAGGGACAAACCGGGCCUCUUGGUCCUCCCCUCAGGCCGCCUGCCGGCUUCUGGCCCAGAGAGUCCAUGGAGGGAGCCAGAAGGCUUCUGCUUCCCUGCGGAGGAGGAUUCGCUGCCCAGCGGGAAGGGCAGGGAGGGCACUUGGGGCUGAACCUGCCGGUCAGCAAGCCUGGGAAUGGUCCCACUUGCCGGACUCUGAUAACCAGCAUCCUUCAGCCGGCAAGCCCUGAGCAGUUGGUUCAGCCAGAAGCUCCCCGUCGUCCUCCGGGUCACCUGGCGGAGGUCUGCCUCCUCAGUUGAGGCCGACACAAGAGUAGGCCCUCCUGUCUCAGCAGGAAGUGCGAAGCACUCUGCAUGUGGUCAGAAGCUGUCUUUUCCACCUACAUUUUCUUCUCUGAGCAGAGAUGCAGCUCAUACCUGUCUGGGUCCCUUUCUCCUCUGAAAGGCUGGAGGGACCGUUUACUCUUUUUGUUUACAGCAUUAAAGCAUUUGAAGACAGUGCCUGCCACGGCCCUUUCCAUUUGAGGGCCAAAGCUGUCCCCGCCGCCGCCCGUCCUGGGAGCUCCAGUCCAAGAAAGUUCAUUUUCCAGAAGAAUCGCCGCUUCCACUGGAUAAGCAAGACAGGGGCGAGGAAGCCAGACCCGGAAGGCCUGAGCCACUCGUUUCCGUGGAACAUUUUGAGUGGGGAGAGCGCCUUUGGCACAGCUUCCCAACUGCAACAGCCUCCCCCCCCCGCCACUCUUGUUCUGUGUAUUGACACACCAGCCCCUUGGGGGGAAUCUUAUCAGAAUGCAGGCCAUCUGACACCUGACCUCGUCUGGACAAAGAGUAGAAGGAAGUGGUUGCUUAUACAUAAAAAGCAACCGUCUUCAGAGCCCUGACUGAGCUUAAUGGGCCAAGAAUCGGAUGAACCGGUACAAGUCUUGUCCGUGUCGGAGGGCGGUGAGUGCUGCGCAAACACUUCCCCUGGUCAUCCCCAAAUCUCUUCCGAAGGGGGUCAAGAGAGGUUGUCCUGUGAACCAGACCUUCUCCUGUUCAAGAAAGUUCCCCUUUGGCCCCUCGGCUGUCCUGCCACAAUCCUUUCCAUGGACCAAACACCACCUUGGCCCCGUGGGGUCUCACCUGUGCCCCUACCCUCCCUCCCUCCCCCUCACACCAAGGGGCCCGGGGCUCCCCACAGGGCAACUGCUCUACUGAACUGGCUCUGGCUCUGGCAGCCGACCUCGGAGGCCCAGAAUCAAGGAGACCCCCCCCUUCUGCAGCUGCCUGAGCAGCAGGAACCAGGCGGGUUUGCUUUCCCACCACCACCACUGUCCUGACCUUGGAAAAGCAUGACGACUGUACAGGCCACACGGCUCAGUUGCAGGGACUGCUUUUAACAGCCCCAGCAACACAAACCCUCCAGCCACUGAGCAUCCACGGAGCGUGUCCUGUUUCCCAGGGAGCCACUGGGCCCACCUCCUCUGAGCAGGCGUGGCCGUGGAAGCCUGGGGAGCCUGGCCUUUGCAAGGUACAGAAGGAAGAGCACGUGAGCUCAGGUUGUAGGAAGCCUUUGCUGCUUCACAACAAUCCUGUUUGUUAGGAUGAUGAUCCUCCUCCAAUUAACAAGCACAAGCUGUGCAUCAACCAACCUAUCUCUUACGUCUGCUCUCCCCCAACCAGCCACCCAUGUGACUAAGCUUUCACCGCGUCUCUGGCAGUCUCUUGACUUGGGCCAACAUCUGUGCUGCCACCACGUUGCUGGACUACAACUCCCAUUGUCUCUCAUGCCACUUGCUCUGCUUGUUAGGGCUGAUGGGGGGGCAGGGGCUCACCCUUGCUUCAGGGCCCACAAGCUGAAGGAGCAGGUGCUCUGGGAGGGCCAAGACAAACCCACUACUUUGGAAAAGGGGGUGGGGGUGGGGGUGGGCUACCUCACAACCGACCCCACAGGACUAGUACUGGUCCAGGGAUUCACAGAGCGCCCAGCCCCCUUGGGCUUUGCAGUCCUCACCUGAUCAGGAUCCAGCUCCCAUCUCCUGCUCCGUUGAAUUUGGGACCCUUUUCGCACCGCAGCCACUGGACCGUCUGCCUUGCCUCUCUGUCAAUCAUUAAAAAGCCCCCCCCCUUCAUCAUGCAACCUGCACAUUAGAAGCAGGGCGUUGGCAACAGGCAAAGCAGCCUCUCCUCCCUUCCCUGAACCUCCCCUCUCAAAAGAUUUGCCAGGCCAAGGCAGCUGCCUCCCCCAACUCUGCACAAGCGUUUUUGCCUCCUCCUCCUCUAAAGCAGGUGAGCUGGUGUCUCUCUCACACACACUCUUCCCCCAGGCACCUGCACAAAGAGCAACCUGGUUGUCAGGUAACUUGAUUCCCCAGCAGGAACAAGGAAAAAGCCACACCCAUCAAUGGCAAGGUUUCAGAGACCUGCCCGGCAUUGCUCUGUUGUCAGGUAAUGGGAGAAGAAAACACAGGAACACCCUGGCUCAGGCGGGCACAAUGAGAGGAUGAGGGCUUGCCUCUGCAAUAAAUAUUGCAGCCGCCCCCCCCCA
ensembl:lncRNA